rnacentral:rRNA from 1 species
GACGAACGCUGGCGGCGUGCCUAAUACAUGCAAGUAGAACGCACAGUUUAUACCGUAGCUUGCUACACCAUAGACUGUGAGUUGCGAACGGGUGAGUAACGCGUAGGUAACCUGCCUGGUAGCGGGGGAUAACUAUUGGAAACGAUAGCUAAUACCGCAUAAUAUUAAUUAUUGCAUGAUAAUUAAUUGAAAGGUGCAAUUGCACCACUACCAGAUGGACCUGCGUUGUAUUAGCUAGUAGGUGAGGUAACGGCUCACCUAGGCGACGAUACAUAGCCGACCUGAGAGGGUGAUCGGCCACACUGGGACUGAGACACGGCCCAGACUCCUACGGGAGGCAGCAGUAGGGAAUCUUCGGCAAUGGACGAAAGGCUGACCGAGCAACGCCGCGGGAGGGAAGAAGGUUUUCGGAUCGUAAAGCUCUGUUGUAAGAGAAGAACGGGUGUGAGAGUGGAAAGUUCACACUGUGACGGUAUCUUACCAGAAAGGGACGGCUAACUACGUG